rnacentral:tRNA from 1 species
GCCUGGCUGGCUCAGACAGUGGAGCACAUGGACUCUUGAUCUUGGAGUUGUGGGUUCAAGCCCCACGUUGCGCG